UUACAAAAUUCUAUUAAUAUUAGUGAAGACAAAUACAAUGUGUUUAGUAGAUCCUCUCCUCUUCUUCACUGUAUGAUGAAACAUGCAACUCUUUUAUGUUUGCAGCACAUCCAUAGGGAUAUAGAGGAAAUAAGGCGUGAUCUGGACUCUGUCAAAGAGGAACUCUGGCGAAAACGAUCUGAGUAAGGGGAAGUGGGAGGCGAUAUGACAUGGAGGAGGAGAGAUCCUGUCAAAUCCGAGUCAUAUUGUCUAGUGUUUUAGCUGAAAAUUAAGCUUGCGAAUCUAUGUUCGUUUUAUGUCGUUUUUAGUGUCUUUUAAGUUUCUUUUAUGUCGUUGCAGUUUGAGUCAGUGCUUCGUCUUCGGACAAUGUAUGCUAUGUUUCUGGUGAAAUCUGGCUUCUUAAAUAAAGUUUAAGUGCAAUUGUCAGUGGAA